CAAACGUUUCCGCCGUCUCCAGGCAACCCGUCCCCACUACUACAGGAAGCACCGAGGGACAAAAGAGGCGAAGGAAAAACUCAAAAGGGUCUUCACAGUAGCCGUUUCUCAGCAGCCCCUCAGGGGAAAGAAAAAUCGCCCAGAGAUCAAUAUGGUUCAGUGCUGCACCAGGCACAAAGAUUCCCAUCUCUAACACAAAUACAUGAUUCUUCGAGGACCUUCUGGCCCGGAUGCAGAUACUACAUUGAUAGUAGAGGCUGAGCAGACAGCUGAGGGGUGGCAGGAAAUGAGAGGAGAGAGGAAAAGGUCCUGGAGCAGAUUUGAGACUCUGGAUAUGAGUAUGGACAUGUAUUUUAGAUGCAAUGCAGGAAGCUGGUGAAUGCAAAACAGAUGUGAGAGGAAAAAAAAAUCACGUUAAAGGACAGAAGACAAACAUGAAUAGAUAAUGAACGAGAAGCUGCAGGAAUGUAAAGAAGGAAUCAAAAUUUAAAAAAAAACAAACCCUGUGAAUGAACUGAAACGAAGGAAGAAAAGUAAUCUCUUCCUGUGCGGGUUCGUAUUUCACACAGACAGCUGUGGUCCAGGUGGGUUAAAAAGGGGGUCUGUCUUUGCCGCACACUUCCUGUUCCCCCCACCGGGCUGCAGAGAGGCCAGCGGUGGGGAAUGAGAGCCACGCUGUGUUUAUGGAAAGAGUUAUGGCCUGCGAGGAGUGAGGGCGUGACUGUUCGGCUGCCUGUUUAACAUACCAGAUUUAUGUUGUUGUGCUUCAAACAAAAUGAAGAUGUGUGAGCUGUAUGAGCAAUAUUUACACUAACAGCACCUGACUGCUGACA